CCUUCGAUAGCUCAGUUGGUAGAGCGGUGGACUGUAGUAAACAAGAAGCGCCAUCACAACACACAGCACAUUACAACAAUGCCAUUAGAGAUGAGAACCGAAACACUUUAAAACAAUCGCAACAAUUGGCAGUCACGUGUACGUGUGAUGAUGUCUGUCUGUAAUUAGUAAUCCAUAGGUCACUGGUUCAAAUCCGGUUCGAAGGA
rnacentral:tRNA from 1 species